rnacentral:rRNA from 1 species
CCUACGGGAGGCAGCAGUGGGGAAUAUUGGGCAAUGGGCGCAAGCCUGACCCAGCAACGCCGCGUGAAGGAAGAAGGCCCUCGGGUUGUAAACUUCUUUUAUCAAGGACGAAACAAAUGACGGUACUUGGUGAAUAAGCUACGGCUAACUACGUGCCAGCAGCCGGGGUAAUAAGUAGGGGGCAAGCGGUUUCCGGAUUUACUGGGGGUAAAGGGGGUGGUGGCGGGACUGCAAGUCAGAUGUUAAAACCAUGGGCUCAACCCAUGGCCUGCAUUGGAAACUGUAGUUCUUGAGUGUUGUAGAGGCAGGCGGAAUUCCGUGUGUAGCGGUGAAAUGCGUAGAUAUACGGAAGAACACCAGUGGCGAAGGCAGCCUGCUGGACAAUAACUGACGCUGAGGCGCGAAAGCGUGGGGAGCAAACAGGAUUAGAUACCCGGGUAGUC